GUGCUCACUUCAGCAGCCUGUAUACUACAGUUGGAAUGAUAGAUUAGCAUGGAUCCUGCACAAGGAUGACACACAAAUUCGUGAAGCAUUCCAUAUUUUU
ensembl:snRNA U6 U6 spliceosomal RNA